AUUGAACGCUGGCGGCAGGCCUAACACAUGCAAGUCGAGCGGAUGAAGGGAGCUUGCUCCUGGAUUCAGCGGCGGACGGGUGAGUAAUGCCUAGGAAUCUGCCUGGCAGUGGGGGAUAACGUCCGGAAACGGGCGCUAAUACCGCAUACGUCCUGAGGGAGAAAGUGGGGGAUCUUCGGACCUCACGCUAUCAGAUGAGCCUAGGUCGGAUUAGCUAGUUGGUGGGGUAAAGGCCUACCAAGGCGACGAUCCGUAACUGGUCUGAGAGGAUGAUCAGUCACACUGGAACUGAGACACGGUCCAGACUUCUACGGGAGGCAGCAGUGGGGAAUAUUGGACAAUGGGCGAUAGCCUGAUCCAGCCAUGCCGCGUGUGUGAAGAAGGUCUUCGGAUUGUAAAGCACUUUAAGUUGGGAGGAAGGGCGGUAAGUUAAUACCUUGCUGUUUUGACGUUACCAACAGAAUAAGCACCGGCUAACUUCGUG
rnacentral:rRNA from 1 species